GAUGAACGCUAGCGGCAGGCCUAACACAUGCAAGUCGAGGGGCAGCACAGAAACAGCAAUGUUUUGGUGGCGACCGGCGGACGGGUGCGUAACGCGUAUGCAACCUACCUUUAACAGGGGGAUAACGGAGGGAAAUUUCCACUAAUACCCCAUAACAUCGAUCAAGGCAUCUUGAUUGGUUGAAACCUCCGGUGGUUAAAGAUGGGCAUGCGUUGUAUUAGGUAGUUGGUGAGGUAAUGGCUCACCAAGCCUACGAUACAUAGGGGGACUGAGAGGUGUGCCCCCCACACUGGAACUGAGACACGGACCAGACUCCUACGGGAGGCAGCAGUGGGGAAUAUUGGUCAAUGGGGGCAACCCUGAACCAGCCAUGCCGCGUGCAGGAAGACGGCUCUAUGAGUUGUAAACUGCUUUUAAACAGGGAUAAAGCACAGUAUGUAUACUGUGUUGAAGGUACUGUAAGAAUAAGGAUCGGCUAACUCCGUGCCAGCCGCCGCGGUAA
rnacentral:rRNA from 1 species